AGUGGCGAACGGGUGAGUAACACGUGAGUAACCUGCCCUUAACUCUGGGAUAAGCCUGGGAAACUGGGUCUAAUACCGGAUAUGACUGAUCAUCGCAUGGUGGUUGGUGGAAAGCUUUUUGUGGUUUUGGAUGGACUCGCGGCCUAUCAGCUUGUUGGUGAGGUAAUGGCUUACCAAGGCGACGACGGGUAGCCGGCCUGAGAGGGUGACCGGCCACACUGGGACUGAGACACGGCCCAGACUCCUACGGGAGGCAGCAGUGGGGAAUAUUGCACAAUGGGCGAAAGCCUGAUGCAGCGACGCCGCGUGAGGGAUGACGGCCUUCGGGUUGUAAACCUCUUUCAGUAGGGAAGAAGCGAAAGUGACGGUACCUGCAGAAGAAGCGCCGGCUAACUACGUGCCAGCAGCCGCGGUAAUACGUAGGGCGCAAGCGUUAUCCGGAAUUAUUGGGCGUAAAGAGCUCGUAGGCGGUUUGUCGCGUCUGCCGUGAAAGUCCGGGGCUCAACUCCGGAUCUGCGGUGGGUACGGGCAGACUAGAGUGAUGUAGGGGAGACUGGAAUUCCUGGUGUAGCGGUGAAAUGCGCAGAUAUCAGGAGGAACACCGAUGGCGAAGGCAGGUCUCUGGGCAUUAACUGACGCUGAGGAGCGAAAGCAUGGGGAGCGAACAGGAUUAGAUACCCUGGUAGUCCAUGCCGU
rnacentral:rRNA from 1 species